GAUGAACGCUAGCGGCAGGCUUAACACAUGCAAGUCGAGGGGCAACACGGGUAGCAAUACCUGGUGGCGACCGGCGCAAGGGUGCGUAACGCGUGAGCAACAUACCCUAUACAGGGGGAUAAUCCAGGGAAACUUGGUCUAAUAUCCCAUAGGAUUUACAGAUGUCAUCAUCUAUAAAUUAAAGCUUCGGUGGUAUAGGAUUGGCUCGCGUGACAUUAGCUAGAUGGUGGGGUAACGGCCUACCAUGGCCAUGAUGUCUAGGGGUUCUGAGAGGAAGACCCCCCACACUGGGACUGAGACACGGCCCAGACUCCUACGGGAGGCAGCAGUGAGGAAUAUUGGACAAUGGAUGGAAAUCUGAUCCAGCCAUGCCGCGUGCAGGAAGACGGCCCUAUGGGUUGUAAACUGCUUUUAUAUGGGAGCAAUAAGGUCUACGCGUAGACCGAUGAGAGUACCAUAUGAAUAAGCAUCGGCUAA
rnacentral:rRNA from 1 species